rnacentral:ncRNA from 1 species
AAGCAGGGGAGUCCGCUCAAGCGGGCUGAGAUUAGGCUGUGUUGCCUUGACCCUUUCACCUGAUGCGGAUCAUGCCGACGUAGGAAGCUCAUGAUAUAG